rnacentral:lncRNA from 10 species
GGGUGGCUGAGGCAGGAGAAUCACGUGAACCCGGGAGGCGGAGGUUGCAGUGAGCCAAGAUCAUGCCAUUGCACUCCAGCCCGGGCAACAGUGUGAGACUCUGUCUCAACAACAACAACAAAAGAAUAUGGUGGCUCUCCAUUUAUCUAAGUCUUCCUUUAUAGUGUUAUUAAUUUAGUAAUUUUCUUCAUAUAAGACUUUUUGGUGGUUAUUCCUAGCUGCUGGUUUUGUUGCAAUAGUAAAGUUGCAAUAGUAACAAAAAAUAGUGUAUUUUUUCUGAGUUUUUGAUUUUUUUUUCUGGUAUCCAGCCACUUUCAGAACUCUUUCAUUAGUUCUAAGUUUUGUUGAUUCUCCUGAAUGUUUUUAGCCACAUUAUCAUGCUGUCUGCAAAUAUUAAUUGGGUUUAUUUAUCACAGCAGCCAGAUCUUCCAGAUAGAUGUAAGCAAGAAUGGUACCCUUAGACUUAUUUGCCAUGUAUCUUCAAUGGGAAUCCUUUUAUACCACUGACUUCAAUGGGAAUCCUUUUAUACAACUGACCAUUGAUUUGAGAAUCUUUGUCAAAUUCAGAAAUUAUGCUUUCAGGCUGGGUGCGGUUGCUCACACUCCUGUAAUCCCAGCACUUUGGGAUCACUUGAGGUCAGGAGUUC